CUCCUGUGUGCACAUAUCGCAGUCGCCAUUGGAGACAGUCAGAAGGAAAUCUCUAGAGCAACAAUCUGUGUAGAGAGAGUUAAUAUUUUGUUGCAUUUUUGUUAAUUUGAUCUCAAACGACCACAAAUCUAUCCGUAAGUUACCUCUGAAACAUAUUUGAACUUCAAAUCAAAGUUUUCUUUAUUAACGGACGUUAAUCCAAUAGAACAGACCGAACAGCGUGGCCUAAUUUAGGCGAGCGCUGAAGGAGCUUCUAACGACGCCAACGUGAAGCUAUCACUGAAAAACAUGAAGACCACUGACAAGAGCAUGCAAGCUCAGACAGCACGUCUCAGUGAGGGGCUGAGGUUGAUCUUUGAUCAAGAGUCAUCCAGCUCUCCCUCCUCUAGUCCCCAUUCCAGCAGCAGGAGUAGUGGAGGGAGCAGCUGCAGUACCAGCCGGGACAGUCGCUCAUCCAGAAGCAUGAAGCGAUCUCAUAGGAGGAGAGGUCAUUCCAGAUCUUCCUCCAGUUCCUCUACAUCAAGUACCCAAUCUCGUUCCCAUUCUCGUCCUCGUCCACGAUGCCACAGACAGUCGUCACAUCAUCGUUGCCGCCGUCAUCGCCACUCGCCACCUCGCCGGUACCGGGCACGCUCCCGCUCCUACAGUCCUUCCCCAUCAUCAGAUCGCCAUUACACACGCCGAAGCCGCUCUCGCUCCAGGUCACCCGACAGCAGAAGGCACCGAGGCAGUGUUGGCCGAUACCGGAGCAGACCUUCUGACUCCAGCCGCAGGAGCUACAGGAGCAGGUCUCGGACACCCGAGCAGUCCUCAGUCCAUCUCAGUCAGGAUGAAAAGAGGGAGCUUCUGAAAAUCGCUGCAGAAAACGCAGUGAAGAUUGUGGGGUCAGAACGGUUGCAGUUGCCUGAAAGUGUGAAGAGGACCCUCCAGCCGGAAGAGAAAGCGUCCCUGUCACCAGAUCAUAGCACUCCAGUCCCAAACAAAUGGGUGAGACCAGAUCCAGAACCCCAGCAGAGUCUAGAACAGGUGGGUGUUAACAGAAGCAAAUAGUUUAUUCUUUUGUGCGUCCUUUUUGAAUGAGAGAGCUACUGACCGUAUUUUACUCUUGUACAAGGUAACAGUACUUGAGCUGCUUAAAUGCAGAUGUGCAAUUCUGACAUCAUGUAGUGUAGUAUUUGAAACUGACCAUUGCCAAUAUGGUUAUCUGGAUGUCCACACACAAGUCAAUGAGUAAAAGUUUAAGAGCGAAGGGGUCUCUCUUUUUUUUGUAAUUGUGAAACAUUUUUUUAAACUGACCCCUUUCUCUGGGUUGUUUCUGUAACUUUUCCAUUUCCUUUUCAUAAAGAAGGUGUAUUUGCAGGCAUCUGACUGGCCUGGAUCAGGCUGAUUAAAAAUAGUCCUCAAAACGCUGUGUGUUAAUUACAGCAGAGGCUUAUUCGAGUAGUUUGAAUCAUCGAGUCUGUCACGGACAUUUAAAGGAAAUGUUGAAGAUAACAUGGUCUGCUCUCCAGCACCCCUCGGAUUUAGGAGAGCGAGGGGGCAGUCAUGUGACGCCACUGGGUUUGUGGAAAGGGUUAAUUCUUAAGUCUCACUUGCACAUCAAAGGUCAAGUAACAGUUGAUGCCUGUAGUGUACCUUGUUUAAGAAGUACAGUACAUAUUAGUAGCGUUACUAUAGUUAAGUAUACAUCUCUUUGUAUUGCAUUGAUCUCCCAUCCUUUCAAAUUGGAGACUGUAGGUCGUUGCAACAUAGACAUUAAAGAAGUAGCCAACGCCUCAUAUCUGACUACAUGUAACGUACUAGCAGGUUCUUUUCUUCAUGCAUAACAGAAACUUUUGAUGUUUGUUUGCUCUUGGUUGAAACGGAUGCGUUGUUAUUUGGCAGAGCCUACCUCCAGCUUGCAGAAGAAGUGCAGGCGCUGGGACUGCACACUAGUGACUAUCCCUGAGCCCUGAGCUGAAAACUUAAAAACUGAAGAAGAAACAACCCCCUCCCCCUCUCCAUGUACCAAAGAUAAGUUUGUGCCCAUGCUGUGGCACAAGUUGGGGUUCAAAAACUGCAUCAUCAGAGAAGGGAUCUUUUAUUUUUAUUUUUGUGCUGUUAUUUUUUUCCUUUUCCCUUCAAAUGUACUGGAACUAACUGGUCCAAAAGUUCGGCAACUGCCCAUUGGCAGCAGUGCAGACAGAUCUUCGUUGUAACAUUGCAGAUCGUAGCUAUUAAGUCACAAUUAUACCUGUACAUUGUGACCUUAAUGAUCUUGAGAUAGUCAUAUGCAUGGUUUGUUGUCUAAAGACAAAAAAAGGUCACAUCUCUAUCAGUCUGAGGAUGAUAAAGAAAGUUUGAAAAGAGUUUGUGAUCACUUUGUUAAACAAGUCUGUUCCUUUUGUUUUUCUGGCAGAUCACAGAGACGACCUCCGAGGAUGGUGAAUUAAGCCCCAAGAUGUCUCCUAAGAGAAAACCCAUCAUGUUCAGCAUCAAUAACACUGUUGCAAAGCCGACAAAUGGCAAACCUCAGGGCAUGGCAGAGGUUAAGGUAACCUCAAGGGUUGACAUCGUGGGCAGCAAAAAGCCUUAUGGCCAGUGGAUCCCAGUCAAGACAAAAGUCCUUCUUUCAUCGAAACGUUAGCAAGCUUGCUUGUCCAUGCAAGACUUUGUAAAUAUUGUAUUUAUUGUAUAUAUAUGGGGUGGAAAGGGGUGUAUGGAAUUCAUCAUAGAUAUUUUCUUGCAGAUGUACAGUAAAAAGCAAUUGAGGGAAUUGGGAAGAAGGCAAGAAGAAAAUCUACAGGUGGGAUAUUUUUGUGAUGUUUCUGUGGUUUUAAAUAAAGACAUUUAAUGUGGAA